rnacentral:rRNA from 1 species
UACGAAGGGGGCUAGCGUUGCUCGGAAUCACUGGGCGUAAAGCGCACGUAGGCGGCUUUCUAAGUCAGGGGUGAAAUCCUGGAGCUCAACUCCAGAACUGCCUUUGAUACUGGAGAGCUUGAGUCCGGGAGAGGUGAGUGGAACUCCGAGUGUAGAGGUGAAAUUCGUAGAUAUUCGGAAGAACACCAGUGGCGAAGGCGGCUCACUGGCCCGGUACUGACGCUGAGGUGCGAAAGCGUGGGGAGCGAGUCCGG